CGUUCUGCGCUCGGUUCGCGGCUCAGUCAGUCGUCGUUCGAGCAUUAGGCAACAUUUAAUUUUAAUUUUAAUAUUUAAGUAGCUCUAAGUGUACAUAACACGAACAAACGAACAACGGAAAGUCAAGCAAGAAUCAACAGGCAUCAAAAUCAGACAAACGAAACACGAAGAGUUACAAAAAGAAAUUUAACUAAAAAAAAAACAGCUACGCAUAUUGAAUGUGCUACUUCGAACAAUUGAAACGAAACGAACCCUUGAAGAAACAAACCGUGCAAAGUGAAUCAUCCCAACAGUGAACCAUAUAGCGGGGAAUCGCGCACAGCAAAAAAAAAUAAGGACAAACGGUCUUUUAAUUUAAUUUCGAAGUAAAAAGCAAACGAAACGCUUUUUACUACAAUUUAGCUGCGAAACAAACGUUCAACGAAAUACGAAAGCAAGUGCAAGUGUUCUGGUGAACAGUUUUUCGAAUUACGAUUUUAAGUGUACGUGUUCUUUUUUUUUUGUCCUUUAUUCAUUGCGAAAUUCGAAAGCUCUGCAAGCAAAGGGGGGAAGUAUUAGUAACUUCCCUAAUACAUAGCGAGUGUGAAAACCUUCAACCCGCAAUAAAACUAGCAACAGUGUGACAGCGUCCUGUUUAUGUGACAAGUUCAAGAAAGGAUAUAAUUUUCAAACUACAAACCAUUUAACAUAAAAAAUAAUACACCGUGACAAAAAGUGCGAUUCUCUCGGCGGGAGAGAUAGAAAGAAAUAGAAUAAAACAAAAAAAAAACGCGUGUGUAGAACUGUGAUAAUCGCACGCAAUCGACCAAAGGUGGGCAAACACAAAAUAAAAAAAAAAAACCCACACCCAACGGUGCAAAGAACCUAAAGCGUAAAAUCGCAACCGUGCGUGCGUGCGUGCGUGAAGUGUCGUCGUCGGUGGUGUUUAGGUAAAAAUAAUUGAAAUCCGUACCACCCGGGCCCUGCGAUUGCGAGCAAACGUGCGAACGCAUUGGAUCUGUUCUGGUGACCGAUUGUGAAGUGUAAAUAGGUUACUUCCAACCACACCCAGCACAACCGGUGGACGGAGGUAAAAAAUUGGAUCGAUUUGUCCACGACACAACGCCCCAAAAGUCCAACACCCUCGGCACGACACACUGAGCUCUAUAGAAAAAAAAACAACAAUAAGGGAAAGUCAUCAUCCAUCCGGUGCGAAAUUAAAGUUACAAAGCCCACUGGUGCAUAUGAAUCGUGUGCCGAACAUUGAAUUUAUCCGCCACUAGAGAGUGAGAGAGACAAGAAACAAGCGUGAACCCCAGUGCGAGGAAGUUAGUGUUAAAAUUAAAAUUUAAAUGUACUGCCUACGUGAAGUGUCUCAGCAUACGUAUCAGCAGCAAAAGCAGCAGCAACACCAGGACGUUUAUGAUCUGUAAUAAGCAGUGGGUUUAGCAUCAAACCUUAGCGAUGGAGCAAAUUGAACAACCAACGAGCGUCUCGGCUGGUACGGUGGAGAUAAUGCUCAAAAAUGCUUCCACACCCGAACAGGUGGCGAAAAAUGAAGGUUUAAACUGUAAAGCAGACACAGCGGAGUACUGUGACAAUGUGAAAGAAACGAACGUGCGACAAAAGCGUAAGAAAGCGUCAGAAAAGAUCGAUGCGAGCGGUGUUACCGAUGUCAAGCCACCGUUGGAUCAUCGAUCGGUGGGCAAGGAACUGAUCGUAUCUUCCCAUCCCGCACCAUCCUCGGAAGCGAUGGGAAAUCUUUCCAAAGCAAACGGAAAACGGCUAAAGCUGGAUCUGAAAACCCAUCCGGAACAACACCACAAGCCGGAACCAACGUCACCGCUAGGGCUGCUGCAUGAGGAAAAAGUGAUCGUCCGAAGCAAACCACCGAUUCCACCGAAACCGGAUGUAAGGACGAUCCCGGCACCGCCCCAAGGGCAGCAGCGAGUGUCCAUUUCGCCGACCGGCACGCCUCAAGCAAAGGGCUGCAAGAAGCAGCAGGUGACAGAAGCGCACAAUGCCCAUACCGUCCAGAAGCUGCUGGCACAGAACGAACAGAUGCGGCUGGAACUGAGCGAACUCCGAACGAGCUUAGCUGCGGAGCGGAACGCUGUCAGAGUGUUAAGGGCCCAAAACGAGUCCGAUCUGCGAAAGACAAAAUCCGAAUGCAAGAAACUGCAGGAAGCUCUGCAGCACCAGAAACGCCAUUCCCAGGCCCAGUGCCAGAGUGUGUCCGUGGGUGGUGGUACACCGGCCAAGCGGGCACACCGGGGCGGGUCGGGGGAACAUGAACCCACGAGCGGCUGGGGUUCGGAGUCGCGCGGUCAGCAGCAGCAGCAGCAACAUCAGCAGCAAUGUUGUCUGGAAGUUCUGAAGCUGAAUCAGGAGAUUUCUGCCCUGCGGGAAACGAACAGGUUCUUAGAGGAAAAAUAUCAAAUUUCCUCCGAGGCUGAACGGCAGAAAGCUUCCGAUAUACGCGUACAGCGAGAUCUGCACGAACUACGAUUGACUCAACUUUCCAAGUCAGCUAGAAACGAAAUCCAGCGCAUGCUGGAAGAGCUGAAAUCGAAGGAUCGCAGCAUAGCGCAGCUCAAGAAGGAGCUCCAGGCUGCGCUCGCUGCCCAGGCAGGAGCCGGUGGUGGUUGUCGCAAGGAGAGAAAGGCUGCUAAAAAUUCCGCUCAGCAAUCGCACGAGGUAAGCACAGAGUGUUCCGCACUGCCGUGGAGAUUCGUACGUUCCACUGGAACCAGUGGACGAUUGAGAAUGCGAAAAUUGCGUGAGACAGAACCAUGUAGCGGAACUAUCAGCAAAAGCAACAGCAAUAACAGCAUCCAAUCCGUCACCGACGAUUACGAACAGCUGGACACGAAGGAAUCUCUGGAGCUGACUAUUGUCACCGCGACAACCACGACGACCGCCGUCCCGGCAGCGGAAGAAGCGUCGACACACGACGGCAGCUGCCGAACGACGCGGAACACAGAUGAAACACAGGCUAAUAAUCUAGACCUAGCGAUAGAAACGACGACGUGCGGCAACGAUGAGGUUGAACGGCCGACGCUGCCGCACGAAUUAUGUAAACGAACCAAGGAAGCUCACAGCAACGAAAGUAGUGGUGCCAGUAGCGUAGUACUAGAGUCUAAGAUCACGCCGCCCUAUCUUGCGACGGGAGCAAUAAACACAUCAGCACAGCAAUCGAUCGUCUCAGUCGAGUGCCAGCAGGCGUCUCUCGGUUCCGAUACGGACUCGGCCCUCUCCUCGAUGAGUCCGCAGCCGAACAGCUUCACCGGCGACUCGCCGGACGACGAUCCGUGGAACGUCCAGCGGUCGGUGAUAGCUCGUGACGAUGGUAAGCUGGCGCGGAUCAAGCUGGAGCUGGAUGAGAUGCAGCAGCGGUACGAUAUCCUCAACCGGGACUACACGCUUGCCAAGGAACAGAUCGACCAGCUGGAGCAGGAGCUGGUGAAGGCAACACAAGCUUCGCGCGAACAGAGCAAACUGAACGAACGGAUCGCAUACCUCGUUAAGCGCGAGGAAGACCUGCUAAAGGAAAGUCACGAGCUGCGCGAGCAGAACGAACUGCUCGAGUUUCGAAUCAUCGAGCUCGAGGAAAGCCACGACAAGUGGUCUCUACGAAACAACUCAAGCCCAACGGUCGGCGGUGGAACGACAAAGGACGGCUGGACCGAUACCGAAAAGGAGCACGAUGAGCUGAUAAUGCUCUCGGAGCGAUCCGACUCCGGCGUCACCUCACCCAACAGCCAUCACCAUCUGGAGGACCAGCAGAGCGGCGUGCCGUCGCCGUGCGAUCUCUCCCUGCUGGAUCAAAUACCGACGGACGAUGUGCGCAAGCGGCUCAUCGCCAUGACCAAGCGCACGUGCUACGACGAGGAGGACAAGCUGUGUCUGCUCCAGAUCCUGUCGCUGCUGAACAAUCUCGAGGCCCUGUCGCAGGACCAUGAGAUUGCCGGCGACGACAUGAGCCUGGAGUCACCCAUCCAAAAGUACAACUAUAGCCUCCCGGACAGCAGCACACCGCCGAGGGCGCUGCUGCAUUCGGCCGCGGCCGCUGUGAUGAACAGCUCCACGCCGUACAAGGCGGCCGGUGGCAAGAUUGUCGCUACCGUGCAGCCGUUCCACAGCUCGGACCAGCAUGCGGCCGCGCCCGUACCGCCACCGAAAGCACCCUCCAUUGCCUCGAUCGCGGAAACGUUCGGCGGCAUGAAGAAAUCGUCGCGCUGGAACAACGCCACCAGCCUGCAGGAGAGCGGCGUGUUUGUGGACGAACCGUGCACUCACGUGUCCACCCAGACGGAAGCGGACGACUUCCCGGCGCUGGAAAAGACGAACGCCGAGCUGUGUGCCGAGAUAGAGAAGCUGAACCGAUUCCGGGAGAAGAUCGAGGAGUGCAAGGGCGUAGCGGUGGCAGCUGUUUGCAAAACGCCCAGCAAGGGUUCGAUGCUGGCGCUGAACAUACCGCCCCCGACCGGGGAUGAAGCGUGCGACCGGCGCCGACUGCAGUUCUACGUCGAGCGGGCGGAGAUGCUGGAGAACAAGCUGAAGGUGUACGAGAGCAGCGGCGACCAGCAGCUGCGCCAGCUGUCGCAGCGAUUGCAGCGCGAGGUACAGCUGGAAGGUUGGGUGAAGGAGCUGUCGGAGAAGCUCGGCCGCGUGGAGCUGGAAAACGAGCGGCUGGAGGAGGAACGCUGCGAGCUGGAGGAGAUCGAGAACGACACCCGGUUGCGGUUGCAGCGGCUGGAGGAAGAUCUGGAAGUGAUGGGCCAGCGGAACGAGGAGCUGGAAAUGUCGCGCAGCUCGUACCAGUCCAAGUACCAGGACGCGAAGGAAAACAUCGACAGCCUGGAGGAGCUGAUUCACAAGUACGAGGAGAAGAUCUUCCUGCUGGAGGAGAACGAAAACGAGCUGCGGGAGAAGAUCGAGAUCAUCUACAUGUUCAUACCGAUGCUGCUGCUCUACAACAGCUGGCAGCUGCACGAACAGUUCAAGCAGCACCAGGCAGCAACGCUGGCACAGCAGCAGAAACAGUCCCGACCGCCGACGCUAUCCUACGCCGAGUCGCACGCCAUCCAGUGCAUUCCCACGGACCACAUCGACUACUACGAUAGUGGCAGCUCGCAGGCGGACGAUCUGCAGAACCGGCUGAGCGAGCUGAUGAGCCGCGAAAAGGAGCUGACGCAGAACAUUGCCGAGCUGAACCGGGCGUACAACGAAACGCUCGAAAAUGCGGACAACCUGUGGGCACAGAUGGAGCGCGAGUACAAGGAAAAGAUCAGCCGGUGCGAGCAGGAGGAGGCCACCCUCAAGUCCAAGAUCGCCCAGCUCGAGGAGCGGCUGAGCAAGGACAGUGAGUACGCGAGCGAGCGAAUUGCACACCUCGAGGAGGCGGAAAGCAGCCUCAAGAGUCGCGUCAGCCGGCUGGGAAAGGAGAACAAAGAGCUCUCCGCUAAGCAUGGUGCGCUGGUGGAGGAGUACGGCACGCUCAAGGACGAUUAUGCCAAGCUGCAGAACUACCUGCGCGGACCGGCUGCGGAAGCGCUGGAGCGCGAGAAGAAGCGUGUGCUGGCGCUGGAAGACGAGCUGGCGCACACCGAACAGAUGCUGCGCGAUGGCGAAGAAUCGCACCGUGCCGAGGUGGGCUCACUGCGCGGUCGUUUGCUCAACUCGACCAAGGAGCUGAACCACAUCGAGGUGACGAACAGUGAGCUGCGCGAGGAGGUAGAAACGCUUGAGGGACGCAUCCGCGAGCUGAUGUCUCAGCGUGGCAGUGACGAGGAGCGCAUCAAGCAGCUGACGGAAGAGCUGGAAGCGAAGCAGUCGCAAAUUGUUGCACUCCAACACGCACGCAAGGCUGGUGGACCCGGUACCGGUAGUAGCCGGGCAACGGUUGGACGCAGCUUGGCGCAGGAGCUCGAGCGUCCGCUCAAGGGUACCUACACACGCCACGGCUACGAGGUGCAUCCACUGGGCAGGAAGUUUCCCGACAGCGACAGCAGUGGCAGCGGUAGCGAGGAUCGAAGCAAGUUUCCGCACACGAGACCAUCGGCAUUUGAAACCAAAGAAGUGAAGAGCCUUGCGGAGACGAUCAUUCUGAAUGCCGAAAGCAGGGGAAUGAAGACGCCAAAGAAAUCCUUUGUUGAGGAGGCACGCAGCCGAUUCGCCCGGUGGGUGUGAGAUGCUGAAUCCUGGACCCGAGUGGACAGGAUGUCCCGAACUCCCGAAUCUGCCAAAUUUUGCUGGAAUAAGUACAAUACCCCUACCCCCAUCCCUGCACGGGCCAUCUUACUGGUGUGUUCCCUCGAGUGAUCUCGGACAACGGACCGUUGCUUGCCCUGAAAACAACCGCCAAGCAACAGUGUUACCAACCCAGCGCACACGUUACACAUCCUUCCAACAUGCACACGUUACACUAGGACACGAACUCAGACAUGCAACAAGUACAAGCCUUUUUGGGGUUUGGAUGGAAUGUUUGUGUUGUGUCGUAGAAGCGCAUCUUCGGCUGUGAAGUUGAAGGUUGUGUCACACCCCUCCCUCAACCAUCCCUGUUCGCACAGCAUCCUUUGAUCCUUGUAGCGCACCCUUCCCGCUUUGUCCCGGACUUGCCAACAGGUCAACGUGAUGAACUGAUACAAACCGCCACCCUGAUAAGCGAUCCCGCAACAGGCGCAGAAAAUCUGAAGUGAAACUCCUUCAGCCCACCAUCACCACCAGCGGGACAAUCGGUAACACUCUCCGCCGUUUUUUUAAUGCUCUAGGACGUCUGUUUCUCUGGAGCCGAUAUCGGAGCCGAAACAAAUCUUCAUCAAGCACUCCUUCCUGCAGCUUCUGGUCGGCCAUUUUACCACCUCCCAGUGCAAAGGUGGACUCGAACAUGCGUCGCCAAGGCAGAAUCGCGCCGGCAGAAGGGCCCGGAAAUGAGGAGAUGAAAAAAUCUAGUCGUUGUUUUUGUUGAAUGUGUUUAUUUUUGAGGUACUAUAAAACAAAGUAGUGUUAGACGUUAGCAAUGAAAGCUGCAGCAGUAACGGCUGCAGAAGAUAGGCGGUACGAUGGUGAUCGUUCGAUCGUAGUGCGUUACUGGCAUGGCUGCUCUUGUGUAGAGAGCCUGGUGUUUGCCCAUGGCAACGGAUCGACAAUGCAUGCGCACACCAUUCAAUUACGAUUUACUCCCAUAACCAGACUCUGUAAUAUAGACUGAACAGUAGUAGAUGGUUGGCAGCAGUUGACAGCUUUUAGAUCGUAUAGUUUUUUUUCGCAAUAAUUAAACUCUAGUUUGAGCGUUCAUGUUCGUUGCGUUUACAGUUUGAAUGAUAAGUUCUCAGCCUAAGCGAGUUAGUUUUGCUAAGCUUUUUGUUUGCCUUUCAUCCAAACUACCUACGGAAGAGCUUCAGUUUGCAGUUAGUAAAUAUCGGUUCGUAUUUUGUAUAAUUUUGCCCAUUACUGUAUGAUUGUGAGUUGCUUUUAGAGUUUUUGUUUUAAUUUUACCAUUCGUUUGUGUACAGUAUGCUUGCGUUAGUUUGUGUUUUUUGUAACAUAUUUUAUGAUAUCCGAUGGGUUGGCUGGUAAAUGUCGUCCUUCCCACGGGAAGGACAGUCCGAUGGCUAGUAGUUCUUUGUGCUAUUCUAUAUACGACUAUAACGGUUGAAACAAAAUAAGCAGCUAUUUAACGUGGCGAGCCAUGCAAGCGAGCAAUGAUCCGUCAACCGACCCGGUCGGUAUAAUCGGUCAUGGUGCUUUUGAAUCGAUUUUGUGCCUUCAGCAUCGAUUGAAGGAUCGAUCCUUAGUACGUUCGUUCCCCGAAACGGGAACUGGUAAACGAUCAGUACCAGCUACCUGCGUUCCACCGGUACGCAGUGCAAACUUGUGAGCUUCCAGGGUAUUAUUUAAUCGUGUUACUACAAACUCAUAUGUAUGUCCCACAUUAAUCAAUUGUUCAGGUUUUGUAUAAAGUGAACAUGUAGAAACAGUGAGUGAGUUGGAAAGCGAGAAAGUGGAGAAAGAGUGAGUGAGAAGCAGAGAAAAAGAAAGAAAAGAAUAAACAAAUAUACGCCGUAGUUGUGGUAGUGAAAAAUUAUAA